AUGAGGCAGAAAAGCAUGGAUGGUGUAAAUAGCCCAAAGACACCGACAGAGAAGACAGCUCUCCACCCCUGCCCUCCUUCGCCUCCUUGGGAGGCGCAGAGUAGCCAGGAAGCCCUCCACCCCCGCGGUGAGGGUCUCGCACGCGCCGCGCUGGGCGCUCUACUCGCCCAUACGAGCCGGAUUUCCGAGUUAGUGGAGCGCGAGCAGCAGAAUGGGGGGAAUCACCCCGACACUGCUUUCCGCUCACCUCCGGAUCUCUCUAUCAGAGCCAAACCCUCCUCCCGGCCGCUGAGCCGAGUUCCAAUGUGGCUGGCGCCUCCAGUCAGACCUGCCGCGCCCUCCUGCCCGCGCGCUGCCCGAGGGAUGCGGGGCUGGACGCCCGCCCUGGGCCCCAGGACGAGGCGGACAGAGGGCCCGGGUGACAGUCCGAUUUCUCUGUCCCCGAGGCAGGCAGUCAGCCCCCGGCAAUCCUGGACCGGCGAGGCCGAACAGGCUUCGCGAACGCACCUCCGCCCGACUUAUUUUGAAAAACUUCAGGAAAACCAUCAGCACAUCGAGCCCAAAUUGCAAGGCUGGCCCGGGGGCGCCCGCGCGCUCGGACCCACCCGGCCGCGCGGACGGACAGUUCCCAUCCACCCCGGGUCCUCAGUCCCCGCCCCGAGCCCCGCUCACUCACGCGCGCCGGGCCAGACCUCGCGGCCAGCCGUGUCGCGGGCCGGGGCAGCCGCAUGGUCCCUGGGAGCUCGCGUGCGCCAAGGCGCAGGAGCCGCGUCCGUGUGGGGGUCCCGCCGGGCGGAAAGCGCCGCGGAGCAGGUCGGCGAGGCCAAGCCGAGGCGGGCGGCGGACGUGCGGCCGCGGGCAGGGACCCGGCAAGGCCCGCCCCGGGGCGGGGACCUCAGGACCCGGGGGCCUGGCCACGAAGCCGGAGACAUUCCCCCCACUCCCCACCCCCACCUCCUCGGAGGGAGCUGCUCUGGGGCCGAGAGGGAGAGGCGAGCGGGUGCCCAGAGCCAGCAGGGCAUGGCCACGGCCAAGGCCAAGAUAGGGAUCGGCAGAGGGCGGCGAUCCAGGGGCGCGCUUACCCGGCUUCGGAGGCGCCUUCGAAAGCACGCGCUGGCCGGGAGCAUCCCAGCGCAAAUCCGGGAGCCCCGCGUGGUCCUCCGCCCGCCGCGCGCCCUCCCUUCUGCCUCCUUCGGGGAACCUCGGCUUGGAUUAACGCCUUACUCUUUACCUCUGCUGAGCGGCUCCCCUCCGGCGGCGGCUCCGAGGUUGGGCUCCCACGGGGUCUGCGCGCGUCCUUCCGGGCGCCCCGGGCUGGAGAGGCCCACGUGA
rnacentral:lncRNA from 1 species